CUACGGGCUGCACCAGUGGGGAAUCUUGCGCAAUGGGCGAAAGCCUGACGCAGCAACGCCGCGUGCGGGAUGAAGGCCUUCGGGCUGUAAACCGCUUUCAGCAGGAACGAAAAUGACGGUACCUGCAGAAGAAGGAGCGGCCAACUACGUGCCAGCAGCCGCGGUGACACGUAGGCUCCAAGCGUUGUCCGGAUUUAUUGGGCGUAAAGAGCUCGUAGGCGGUUGAGUAAGUCGGGUGUGAAAACUCUGGGCUUAACCCGGGGACGCCAUCCGAUACUGCUCUGACUAGAGUUCAGGAGGGGAGUGGGGAAUUCCUAGUGUAGCGGUGAAAUGCGCAGAUAUUAGGAGGAACACCGGUGGCGAAGGCGCCACUCUGGACUGAAACUGACGCUGAGGAGCGAAAGCAUGGGUAGCAAACAGGAUUAGAUACCCUCGUAGUC
rnacentral:rRNA from 1 species